rnacentral:rRNA from 1 species
GUACAGUGAGGGGCAAGCGUUAUCCGGAUUAUUGGGCGUAAAGAGCGUGUAGGCGGCCAGGUAGGUCGGUUGUGAAAACUGGAGGCUCAACCUUCAGAGGUCGACCGAAACCAUCUGGCUAGAGUCCGGGAGAGGAGAGUGGAAUUCCUGGUGUAGCGGUGAAAUGCGCAGAUAUCAGGAAGAACACCCGUGGCGAAAGCGGCUCUCUGGAACGGUACUGACGCUGAGACGCGAAAGCGUGGGGAGCGAACAGG